GACGCUGGCGGCGUGCUUAACACAUGACAAGUCGAACGGUGAAGGGAUCAGUCUUGCUGGUCUUGGAUGAGUGGCGAACGGGUGAGUAACACGUGAAGUAACCUCGCCCCCUUCUUCUGGAUAACCGCAUGAAAGUGUGGCUAAGUACGGGAUAUUCUGGGUCUGUCGCAUGAUGGGUUCGGGAAAGAUUGCGCCUUUGGGUGUUUUUGGUGGGGGAUGGGCUCGCGGCCUAUCAGCUUGUUGGUGGGGUGAUGGCCUACCAAGGCGGUGACGGGUAGCCGGCCUGAGAGGGUGGACGGUCACACUGGGACUGAGACACGGCCCAGACUCCUACGGGAGGCAGCAGUGGGGAAUAUUGCACAAUGGGCGCAAGCCUGAUGCAGCGACGCCGCGUGAGGGAUGGAGGCCUUCGGGUUGUGAACCUCUUUCGCCAGUGAAGCAGGCCCGCCUCGUUUGUGGGUGGGUUGACGGUAGCUGGGUUAAUGAAGCGCCGGCUAACUAC
rnacentral:rRNA from 1 species